rnacentral:rRNA from 1 species
GGGCGCAAGCCUGAUCCAGCCAUACCGCGUGUGUGAAGAAGGCCCUAGGGUUGUAAAGCACUUUAAGCAGGGAGAAAAAGUUAUAAGUUAAUACCUUAUGACCUUGAUGUUACCUGCAGAAUAAGCACCGGCUAAUUCCGUGCCAGCAGCCGCGGUAAUACGGAAGGUGCAAGCGUUAAUCGGAAUUACUGGGCGUAAAGCGCGCGUAGGUGGUUUGUUAAGUUGGAUGUGAAAGCCCUGGGCUCAACCUAGGAACUGCAUCCAAAACUAACUCACUAGAGUACGAUAGAGGGAGGUAGAAUUCAUAGUGUAGCGGUGGAAUGCGUAGAUAUUAUGAAGAAUACCAGUGGCGAAGGCGGCCUCCUGGAUCUGUACUGACACUAAGGUGCGAAAGCGUGGGUAGCGAACAGGAUUAGAUACCCUGGUAGUCCACGCCGUAAACGAUGACAACUAGCUGUUGGAAGACAACGUCUUUCAGUGGCGCAGCUAACGUUUUAAGUUGUCCGCCUGGGGAGUACGGCCGCAAGGCUAAAACUCAAAUGAAUUGACGGGGACCCGCACAAGCGGUGGAGCAUGUGGUUUAAUUCGAUGCAACGCGAAAAACCUUACCUACUCUUGACAUACUUGGAAACUCUUGUAAUGAGAGUGUGCCUUUUGGAACCAAGAUACAGGUGCUGCAUGGCUGUCGUCAGCUCGUGUCGUGAGAUGUUCCGUUAAGUCGGAUAACGAGCGCAACCCUUACCCUUAUUUGCCAGCGAUUCGGUCGGGAACUAUAAGGGGACUGCCGGUGAUAAACCGGAGGAAGGUGAGGACGACGUCAAGUCAUCAUGGCC